rnacentral:rRNA from 1 species
UACGUAGGUGACCAGCGUUGUCCGGAUUUACUGGGCGUAAAGAGCGCGCAGGCGGUCGUUCAAGUCGAGUGUGAAAGCCCCCGGCUCAACUGGGGAGGGUCAUUCGAUACUGAUCGACUUGAAGGCAGGAGAGGGAAGUGGAAUUCCCGGUGUAGUGGUGAAAUGCGUAGAUAUCGGGAGGAACACCAGUGGCGAAGGCGACUUCCUGGCCUGUUCUUGACGCUGAGGAGCGAAAGCGUGGGGAGCGAACAGG